CUGCCACCAGAAGGAUCCACCACAGCCUCCUCUGUUCUUGUCUUCGAAUUAGAACUGCCCUUUUCCACUGAAUAUGUCUGUUUGAAAAAUUAAAAUGGGUGCUGCUGCCACCGGUUCGGUCACAUUGGAAUCACUGCUGCUGCCAUAAAACAGAAAGGGAAGGGAGUUACUAUGUUUAACCUGUGUGAAUUCAACUAGUUGAGGAACCGGAUGAAGAAGCAUUAAGAAGAGUUAUACUGCGUCUGGUUUAUAAGAUGUUGUAUUAAUUAGAUGUUUUCUCCCCUCGUCUUUGUUAUUACAAGUGUGUAAGAGGGAUAGGAAUUGUAUGUUUUAUAUGUAUAUUAUAUUAUGAGUUAUUAUGUAAAGAGUCUUGUAUAUGAAUCUAUGCCUGUUUGUAUUUUUCUUAAGAUAAAGUGUGUAUUUUUUUUUGGUUCUUUUG